CCUACGGGCGGCAGCAGUGAGGAAUAUUGGUCAAUGGUCGGGAGACUGAACCAGCCAAGCAGCGUGAGGGAUGAAGGUACUGCGGGUCGUAAACCUCUUUUGUCAGGGAACAACGGCGGGGACGUGUCCCCGGAUGCGUGUACCUGAUGAAAAAGCAUCGGCUAAUUCCGUGCCAGCAGCCGCGGUAAUACGGAGGGUGCGAGCGUUAUCCGGAUUUAUUGGGGUUAAAGGGAGCGGAGGCGGGAUGUUAAGUGGGCGGGGAAAUGCCCGGGCUCAACCCCGGCCCCGCGGUGGGAACUGGCGUGCUUGAGUUGGCGGGAAGUAUGCGGAAUGCGCGGUGUAGCGGUGAAAUGCUUAGAUAUGGCGAAGAACCCCGAUUGCGAAGGCAGCAUGCCGGAUCCACACUGACGCUGAGGCACGAAAGCGUGGGUAUCGAACAGGAUUAGAUACCCCAGUAGUC
rnacentral:rRNA from 1 species